GCACCUCUGCUGACAGCUAUAGGACCAAGGACUGUAGACCCAAACGCAGCACAGCCACACGUAUUUUCCUGUCAUGAAGAUUUUCUUUAAUAAAGCUGCAAGUUUUGGGGAAAGUAUGUGUGAUGACUGGGAACUGAUUCCUGAAGGCUAGCUGCAAACCACGACUGGGAAAGAAGCAGGAUGGGCCCAGAUUUUGCAGUGGCUGCUGUCCACCAGAACAUUCAGGUUCACAAGGGUCGUGGGGGUCCCCAAGCCUGCUGAAAGAUGAGGCCCAGUCCUGGCUCCACUCAACUUACCG
rnacentral:lncRNA from 1 species